GCUAGAGAUGCUAGAAUUCUGGAGAAGUUUAUCUUUUAAAAUCUUUAAAAUAUUGCAUGAUGAGUUCCUGUAUGAUGAGAGUUUAAAUUCCUACCACAGCCAUAUAUACAUGCUUGCUAGACUUUGAGCCACACAUUUACUUUACUACUUAUGAGCAUUGAGUGUGGUCAAGCUGUGUAGACCCUUAGGAGCUUGUCAUGUGGUUAAAUCAAGAUUCACUUGCACGUUCACUCACACAUGCUACUUCUACUCCGGAAGUACCAUCCACAUAUAUCCACCCAUUUCCAUCUCCAGAACCACCCAAAAAUAUUCUACUUCUAAUCCGGGACAGAAUGGCCAAAAAUAUUUCUAUUUUUCCCCUGUGAAAUAAAUGCUCAAGUUAUCUUGGUUACUACCACUUGCUAUAUUAUCUCAAGAGAUGAGUGCUCUAAAAAAAGUAUACAAGGAAAUAAAAAGGGGCAAGUGCCCGGAACCUCAAAAGAAAAGAAAAAAGUGAGACAAGAGGUAAAAAUGGACAAGUGUCCGACAGUAGAAUUAGGGGUACAAGAUACCCACCUGAGAGAAAAGAAAAUAGAGAGCAUCUCAUUCUCCUCAUAAAGUUUUAAAAGAGCAAGAAAGGUAUUUAUCCCCUCAAAAGAGCGAAAGUAGAAUUAGACUUUCACCAAUGUUAUCACCAUCAUCACCAUACACCAUUCAUUCGCCACAC
rnacentral:lncRNA from 1 species